GCUUACUGAUGAUUGGGAAAGGCUUUGUGAAAUGAAAGUCCAUUAUUUCCAAAUUUGGAAAUGCCUUUAUAGGACAACUGUGAGGGCCAAAAGCUUCAAGCUCUUCAGGGAUCAGGAGAGAUGGAGUAGAUGUGACUUGGAAAGCAAUGGCCUAAAAGACAGAUUGCCAUUUCCUGGCUGGCUGCUGACCUGAUACUCACCCACGGUGUUGCGGUAAGGCAGA
rnacentral:lncRNA from 1 species